UUCAGAAAAGUGAAGAAAUAUUGAACGUUGUUAAUAAAAAAAUCGUCAACGAUAAAAGACUAGGAACACUUCCUAAGAACUUUAAGAUUUGUACCUGGUAUAAUUAAACUACAGAAAAUAUUGAUAAAGAAAUACAACAGGCGACUAGAUAGAGUAGAGGCAUUAGGACUAACAAUGGAUAAAGUUCUGAUGGAGUUUCAUGAUACGAGAUCAUCUCUAAUUCUGUCUUGUUGGAAUGAUUUCAAACAAGCUUGAGAAAAUAUCCAACAGCAUAUGGAAGGAUAUGGAUUCCCAGUAAAUGGUAACUUUGUUUUUCUGUCUAAAGAGAACUGUUGCAGAAGAAUUGAUGAAAGUACACCAAUAGCUUAUGUUUUACCAUCGGAGAGAGACACUGGACUGUGUUCGUAUGCCCUGAUAUUCUUUCUACUGGAGAAACAAAACUUAUUCUUAGAGAAAUACUGUCAACAGAGGACAACUAAUUUCAGAUAUGACAGUCUCCCUCAAGUCAAGGUAAAAGAUUUAUCAGCGGCAGACCUAAUAAGUUAUCAUCCUGGCAGAGAUUUACUUCCAAUUAUUUUAGCUAAUUCUAACUUCUCGCUUGAAGUUGUUCCGGAAACUAAAGUAAAGUACAACUUUAAAACCUGGAGAGACAGAUAAUGAACAGAUUUCUAUUUACAAAAUCUGUUAUUCUGCUUAAGGAGAUUGAGACAGUUAUGUACAGAUUUGAAACAACCAAUGCUGUAGUCUUUUUACAACUCAGAGACAGAUUUAAACAAGAAAGAAUCAGUGUCCCAGUACUUCGACAAAUUCAGACUGACCUAGAUCAGAAGACUUUCUCGGAAUUGUGUGAUAGUAUUGACAAAUUAGACAUAGCUAUAAAUUUCCUGAAGUCAGAUUGUUCUGAACCAGAGAGUCUAUUGGGUGACUUCAUGGUCAACAUAAUGAAAGAUGCUGAUAACUUAGUCAGUCAGA